rnacentral:rRNA from 1 species
UGAGGAAUAUUGGACAAUGGUGGGAACACUGAUCCAGCCAUGCCGCGUGCAGGAUGACUGCCCUAUGGGUUGUAAACUGCUUUUAUAUAGGAAGAAACCCCCGCUCGUGAGCGGGGCUGACGGUACUAUAAGAAUAAGGAUCGGCUAACUCCGUGCCAGCAGCCGCGGUAAUACGGAGGAUCCAAGCGUUAUCCGGAAUCAUUGGGUUUAAAGGGUCCGCAGGCGGAUUGUUAAGUCAGAGGUGAAAGUUUGCCGCUCAACGGUAAAAUUGCCUUUGAUACUGAUAGUCUUGAAUCAUUGUGAAGUGGUUAGAAUAUGUAGUGUAGCGGUGAAAUGCAUAGAUAUUACAUAGAAUACCGAUUGCGAAGGCAGAUCACUAACAAUGUAUUGACGCUGAGGGACGAAAGCGUGGGUAGCGAACGGGAUUAGAUACCCCCG